CGCCUCCAGGCUCUCCCGGAUCUCCGGCGGAGCGGGAGGCGUGUGAGGCCGAGACGGCCCCCCAGGAACCCCUCAUGAUCUGUGUAGCCGGGGCGCGGGUUAUUGUCGGAGCAACGCCUCCGCUUCCUUGGUCACCCCCCGGCCCAGGCUGGAAUGGGAGGACCCAGCGCGCCACGUGACCGAAUACUGCGCGUCACGUGACGAGGAAGCAGCGCAGCGGCGCCUGGGGAAGGAGUAGCUCUGGCUGAGCUUCUAGUAACCGUGGCGUCGGGCUCUGAGGCGCGGAGGAUUGGAGCUGCUCGAAUUUUCCCCCUCAGUUACGCUAGUUGCGGGUGGUGUCCCGUGAUGGGGGGCAUGAGUCCUGUCUCACCAUGUCUGGCUGGCGGCGACCCAGGUGCCACGUGAUGGUCAUUUGAAGACAGGCCUGCCGGAUGUCAGCUGCCUGGGAUGUGGACAAGAUGCCUGGAGAUUCAGAAACCAUUUGUGAUCAUGAAGACAAAAGCCACAAAGGACAUCAGCCUUGGACAGCCGAACACCUACACCUUCUAUGAGAAAAAUAAGCCACUUGUCUACUGGAGCCAUUCUUACUUGAAGCUGACUGCCACUUCAGCUAUGGUUUAAGGAUUCAAAACACUUUUUUAAGUAGGCUCCACGCAUAGAGCCUGGCUGCGGGCUUUGAACUCACGACCCUGAGAUCAAGAUCUGAGCUGAGAUCAAGAGUCCAAUGCUCAACCCACUGAGCCACCCAGGCACCCUUCAAAAUUUUUUUUUUUAGAGUCGAAAAAGAAGUACACAAUUUCAACAUAGAGAGAGCAGGAGGGAGCAAAUACCAAAAAUUAAUCCCGUCGGAAACACAGAAACAAGAAUACAUAGAAAACAUUUUAAAAUAAAACCAGUGAGACCAGCAAAUCUCAAAGCUUUGCUUAUUUAUUUUAGACGAAAACGAGAGAGCAAAACUAAACCGUAUUGAGGAACAAAAGAAGCACUACUCAUACAGCAUAGGUUUAAAAAAAUAAAUUGUAAGAAUUGUGCGGCAAGGACAGAAAAGAGGGAGCGUCCUCAGAGUCCCUAAUUUACAGCACCCACUGUUUGAACCUCAUCCGUACCUGACAGUACUUGACUUAAGGAAUUGGGAUUAUUGCUUUUAUGCCAGCAAACCCAAAGAGUGGAAAAGGAGGCCCACCUGAUCUGCAGGUGAGGCAGGGGGACCACACAUUUCAAUUGUGGGUUUGUUGCCCAUGGUUUAAACGGAGAGCCACCUGGGGGCCAGCGACGGAACAACAGGGGCUGCUGCCGGCCGUCGUCGGGGGAUCUGGGGAGACCCAGUGGUGUGGCCUCCAGCCUAGAGCUUUAGCCAAAAGAGAACCCUCGGUCCUCCCUCCUCCUGUUCCGUGGCCACUGUGUCUCCCAGCUACAGUGGAAGGGGUACCCGGGGAACGCCCACCCUGGAGUGGUGAAGGGCACCCAUGGAGUAAGAGGGAAGAACUAAGAGUCAGCGCAAAGAAAUCCGCCCAGGAUUCCUGCAGGUGUUUUGAGCCUGGUGUCAAGGGGGAGAGAGAUUGUUGAUGGGAAGUUAGGGGGGGUGUGGUCCACGUGGGGUCACCUUUAACAGGUAUGCAAGGCAACGGCCAGUUCCCCUGGGCAGAUCGAGUAACCUCAAAGUGUGCUGUCAGGGAGGUUAGGGUGCUUGCGGGGAAGGGGAGAGUAGAGAGAGAGUGUUGAAGGAAAGGGGAGGCACAGGGAAACCCCCCUGUGUCCCUUGUCCCGUAAGCUUAUCCUCUCCUUCCCAAGCCCCUCUCCUCUGUCUGGAGUCUCUCACUGCAGGUGUGCCCUAGGAGUGCCGGGCCCACCCACUCUCAGCCUCCAGAGCCCUUUUUGGACCUCAGUGACCCCUUUUCCAAACGUCUGCUUAAUUUCUUCCUGUCCGCGUCCCACUGUUACCCCACCUUCAGCAUGCCCACACUCACAACCACAGACUCACCUUUCAAUCUCCCACAUUCCCUCCUCCUCUCCUGAAACGUCACCAGCCUUCAAGUUCUCCAGUCUUUGCCUCACAAAGCCUCUCCAGAAGAACUUCUCAGUGACCAGUGCACACAUUCUCAGGGCCUGUCUCUUAUUACCCAUCCAAGAGGGCGAGUUCUGAGCUCAAACUCCACCUCCUGCUUGGUGAGACAGUGACUGGGAGCUAAAAGGUUGGCGGAACAUGUUGGUUUCAAUCGGUCAUACGUGCCUGUUUCUGCCUUAUUAACUGUACUAUGUCAACCUUAUUUAAAAGCUGCAGACAUUUGUGGAGAGCUGUGGGGCAUUGAUAAAUGAAAUGUUUAAGAUAUUUUAGGGAUUCAGACUUUAUCUUUCCUGUUCUUUGCCAUCCCACAGCCCUUUCCCCAGGCCAGGCUUUCAUUUCCUCACAUUGAGAUGACAGCAGUAAUUUCCAGAUAGGUCCUUUGAUCUCUACACUUUAAGAUUUAUCUUUUUUAUACACUGUUUUGCUCAUGUCCUUAUUAAAGCUUUCAUUUUUCUUUUCAAUUGCCCCUUGAUCUUAUUAUAUUUGGUUAUAUGUUAUGCUUUUCUUAAAUUUUUUUUUUAACGUUUAUUUAUUUUUGAGACAGAGAGAGACACAGCAUGAACAGGGGAGGGGCAGAGAGAGAGGGAGACACAGAAUCGGAAGCAAGCUCCAGGCUCUGAGCCAUCAGCCCAGAGCCCGACGCGGGGCUCGAACUCGCGGACUGCAAGAUCGUGACCUGGGCUGAAGUCGGACGCUCAACCGACUGAGCCACCCAGGCGCCCCUGUUAUGCUUUUCUUAAACUUUUAAACCAUACAGGCCUGGUGGAGACAGAGCAGAGUCUACAAUAUCCUGUUUUGGUCAUAUGAUUGGAGGUGGGUAGGGGCUUUCGCACGGUGCAGUUUCCAGAAGCCUAGCUGCAAUCAGAGAACCACUCAGGGAUCCAGCCUGCUGACCCAUGCAUUCUAUCCUCCUAUUCUGUGUUCUGAGAAACUCCCCUUCCCCCCGCACACACACACAUCUUCUGGCCCAGGUGGGCAGAAGCACACUGAACCAACACAUAUGAAGAUCCACGUGGAGGAAAAAUGGCUGAGCUGAGAUACUCUAAGGAGACGGGGACACUGGGUAAUAUCAGAAAACUCGGAGGCUGAGAGACCAGAGCUCAGACAGCAAAAGGGGUGCAAAGGCCAGAACUGUGGGUGUACAGAGGAGGAAUAGUGUCCAGGGGGUCCUGGACCCAAUAGUGGCUAAUUUGAAAGUUUGUUGACAUGGAAUAGAACUUGGAACUAUGAAGAACUAGGGAGCUAGGGAACAUAUUAGAACUAUGUAGGAAAGGGUGAGGGAGAUAAUCCACCAUAUGUAAAAGCACUAUAAAGGGUUCAAGAGAGGGGCGCCUGGAUGGCUCAGUUGGUUAAGCAUCCGACUUCGGCUCAGGUCCUGAUCUCACGGUUUGUGAGUUCGAGCCCUGCAUCGGGCUCUGUGCUGAUGGCUCAGAGCCUGGAGCCUGCUUUGGAUUCUGUGUCUCCUUCUCUCUCUGCCCCUCCCCCAACUUGUGUGCUCUGUCUGUCUCUCAAAAAUAAAUAAAUGUAAAAAAAAUUUUUUUAAUAAAAUAAAGGGUUCAAGAGACAUGUAGUACAGGUAAAAUGAAAAGAAAAUCAUAUCUGUCUGCAUACAUAAUAAACCACUCAGAACCAAAGAAAAGAGGAAAUGUUAAAAAAUGCCAGAGAAAGACACAUCGAUUUCAGAGGCACGAGACUGAGAGCAAACUUCUCGCUAGAAACGAUGGAAAGCAAAAGACAAGGUCUACAACAGAAUAAUUUCUUACCUAGAAUUCUGUACUCGGUGAGAAUACUCCACAAAAUGAAGGAAGAAUAAAGGCAAAAGUAAGAGAAUUUAUAAAGGGAAGUCCUUAGCAGGAACCAAAUGUCUCAUGAAAGAAACAAAAUUAUAAAAGGAAAAUGAUCUUAGAAGAAAACACAGAAAUACAGGAAGGAAAAUGUAAACACUAGCUAUGUGGGCAAAUAUAAAUGGAUACAGACAAUAUCAAGAAAUGAUAUUGAUAAUUAUAGGAUUUAAAAUAUAUUUAGAAUUACAAUGCUUGAAAAUAAUGCAAGAGGAGGGAGCAAUUAAAGUGUUCUAAGAUAUUAGUAUUAUUAAGUGAAGGGUCUAAGUACUAAUUUGUCUUAGACUACAGUAAAUCAGAGAUGAAUGUUGUAAUCCAUAAUGUAACUAUCAAAAAUUGCAACACAGAGAGAGAAGGACAGUGAGAGAGAGGAAGAGAAAGAGAGAGAGAGGCUAAAAGGAAAAUGAAAUAAAAAUACUUGAUUCAAGGGGCACCUGGGUGGCUCAGUCAGUUGGGUGGCCGACUUCAGCUCAGGUCAUGAUCUCACAGUCCGUGGGUUCAAGCCCUGCAUCGGGCUCUGUGCUGACAGCUUGGAGCCUAGAGCCUGCUUUGGAUUCUGUGUACCCGCCUCUCUCUGCCCCUACCCCAUUCGUGCUCUGUCUCUCAAAAAUAAAUACAUGUUUAAAAAAAAACUUGAUUCAAAAUGAAGGCAGAAGAGAAUUACCACAUCUUGAUAAAGAGCAUCUACAAAAAAGCCCAGUUGACAUCAUAGUUAGUGGAUAAAGACUGAAUGCUCUUCCCUUUAGAUUAGGUCCAAUGUAUCGACUAUACUAGCUCUUGUCCAACAUAGAACUGAAAGUUCUAACCAUUGCAGUAAGGCAAGAAAAAUAAAUAAAAGACGUACAUAAUGGAAAUGAAGAAAUAAACUAUCUCACAGAUGACAUGAUUAUUUCUGUAGAAAAUCCUAAGUGAUCUACAAAAAAAAAAAAAAGAAAAACUCCUGAAAUUAAUAAGUGUGUUCACCAUAGCCAUGACACAAUAUCAACACACAAAAAUUAACCAAUAUUGAUAUAACAAUAAAUAUGUGGAAACCAAAAUUAAAAACAAUACCAUUUAUAAUCACUCAAAAUAAAAUGUUUAAGGAUACAAUCAGCAAAAUAUGUACAGAUUAUGGAUGCUCAAAAUUACAAAAUUCCAAUCAAAGAAGUCAAAGAAGAUGCAAAUUAUAGAGACAUAUAUGGAUGAUGUUCAUGGAUUGGAAGACUCAAUAUCGUAAAAACGUUUCAGUUUCCCCCAGUAGGCUUAAUAAAAUUUUUAUCAAAAUCCUA